GGGGAUGAAGGCCUUCGGGUUGUAAAGUCCUUUUGCCGGGGAAGAAUAAGGCGGGGAGUGGAAAGCCCUGCCGAUGACGUUACCCUGCGAAUAACCCCCGGCCAAUUACGUGCCAGCAGCCGCGGUAAUACGUAUGGGGCGAGCGUUGUUCGGAGUUAUUGGGCGUAAAGGGCGUGUAGGCGGCCCGAUAAGUCUGGUGUGAAAUCCCAGGGCUCAACCCUGCAAGUGC
rnacentral:rRNA from 1 species